rnacentral:tRNA from 2 species
GCCCCCGUAGCUCAGUGGAUAGAGCACCGGCCUCCGAAGCCGGUGGCCCGCGUUCAAAUCGCGGCGGGGGUACUA